CUACGGGGCGCUCCAGUGAGGAAUAUUGCACAAUGGGGGGAACCCUGAUGCAGCAACGCCGCGUGGAGGAUGACGCAUUUCGGUGUGUAAACUCCUUUUAUAUGUCAAGAAAAUGACGGUAGCAUAUGAAUAAGCACCGGCUAACUCCGUGCCAGCAGCCGCGGUAAUACGGAGGGUGCAAGCGUUACUCGGAAUCACUGGGCGUAAAGGACGCGUAGGCGGGUUGGAAAGUCAGGUGUGAAAUCCUACAGCUUAACUGUAGAACUGCACUGAAACUUCUAAUCUAGAGUAUGGGAGGGGGAGGUGGAAUUAGUGGUGUAGGGGUAAUAUCCGUAGAUAUCACUAGGAAUACCUAAAGCGAAGGCGAUCUCCUGGAACAUUACUGACGCUAAGGCGUGAAAGCGUGGGGAGCAAACAGGAUUAGAUACCCUAGUAGUC
rnacentral:rRNA from 1 species